CACUCCAGUGGCUUAGUGGUUAGAAUAUCCGCCUCAGAUGCAAAAGGUUGUGGGUUUGAACCCCAGCUGAGUUA